GAUGAAGAACGCAGCGAAAUGCGAUAAGUAAUGUGAAUUGCAGAAUUCAGUGAAUCAUCGAAUCUUUGAACGCACAUUGCGCCCGUCAGUAUUCUGGCGGGCAUGCCUGUUCGAGCGUCAUUACGCCCCUCAAGUCCCCUGUGGACUUGGUGUUGGGGAUCGGCGAGGCUGGUUUUCCAGCACAGCCGUCCCUUAAAUUAAUUGGCGGUCUCGCCGUGGCCCUCCUCUGCGCAGUAGUAAAACACUCGCAACAGGAGCCCGGCGCGGUCCACUGCCGUAAAACCCCCCACCUUUUUAUAGUUGACCUCGAAUCAGGUAGGACUACCCGCUGAACUUAAGCAUAUCAAUAAGCGGAGGA
rnacentral:misc_RNA from 1 species